rnacentral:lncRNA from 1 species
UCCUCUCGAACGAGUCAACGGCUCUCUCGCCGCUAGCACCGUCUUCUCCAGCGAGCAGCGAGCACGGCGGCUGCCACAGAUGUAGCACGCCCCCGACCAUACCUUGAUCAACCAUCAUGAAGCCGCUCUAAGCGAAGGAAGGAGCAACGAAGAAGGCGACGAUUCCGCCCAUGAUUCAGUGACUUGCCGUCCUUGGCACAGCAGCAACGUCCUGAAAUGGAAGGAUUCGCUUAUUACUAAGUUAAUCAAGCCUAAGAUUUUGUUGUCCCGUUAAAGAGAGGCCUAUAAAUCGGCCUUUAGAUCUUCGAUUUGGGGAGAGUUAGAAAUGGGGUUUUGAGGAUUAGUUCCUCACCUUACCUGAUCGAAAGAUCCCGUCGCCCCGGCUUGGGUUGGCCGGAGGACCCCGCUACUCUUGGUCUGGAGCACCCUUCCCCCCUCCCUUCCCUUUCUUCCUUCUAUCGCCGCCAGCCACCACUGCCCGCACCACCAUCACCUGCCGCCGCUGCUUCCAUCGCCCUCCCCUCAACCGCCACUGCCUGCCCAUCGCCCUGUCCACUGCCAACAAUCCCCUCCAGCAGCCACCGCCUGCACCGCCUGCCUCGCCACCACCCAGCCGCCGACCUUCGCCCUCACCACCCGCCGGCGCUGCCUCCACCCUCUUCCCUCUCUCCGCCGCCGAAUGUCAUUCCCC